GCCUGACGGAGCAAUGCCGCGUGGAGGAUCAAAGCCUAUGGGUUGUAAACUCCUUUCCUUAGAGAAGAAAUUUUGACGGUAUCUGAGGAAUAAGCAUCGGCUAACUCCGUGCCAGCAGCCGCGGUAAUACGGGGGAUGCACGUGUUAUCCGGAAUGA
rnacentral:rRNA from 1 species